UCCUUGAUAGCUCAAUUGGUAGAGCGGGGGACUGUAGAUUUAUAAUUGUGAUCCCUAGGUCGCUGGUUCGAAUCCGGCUCGAAGAA
rnacentral:tRNA from 1 species